GAUUCUCAUCCUAAACACAAUGGAGUUUUUUCUCUAUGAACUACUUCCCUGGAAAGCUCGUCUUUCCAGUCGUCAUUUCUCUCUCAAACCUUUGGGUUUGGUAGUGAGUGAUACUCGUUUCCGGGUUUACUUGAAAGUGGCUAGCCGUUGCCUUCUGCGUGAGCAGGGCUGCGUGUCAAGUCUAUGGACUCGACUCUUGCACAUCUACGUCUUUGGUUUGCGCCAAUUCGUGGUAAGCUUGGGUCAAAGAGCUUUUAGGUGUUUUAAAGACUCGCUGGUGUUUGUCUCCUUGAGGCAUACGGCUUUACCAAAACUCUCAAAGUUUGACCUCAAAUCAGGUAGGAAUACCCGUAACAAGGUUUCCGUAGGUGAACCUGCGGAAGGAUCAUUUAAGAUUUUGAAUGAGUAGAUUUCUGGGGGAAUUGCUGAACAAGGCCUGCGCUUUAUUGCGCGGCCAGUUCAUGAUUCUCUGCUAUCAGUUUUCUUUUCUCCGCUGAACUUAA
rnacentral:rRNA from 1 species